CCUGAAUUGAAGCUUGGAGACUAUAUGAAGGAGAACAUUUGUUAUGUCUCUAUUUACUUCAAGGAAAUCAGCAUCAAACAAAUCACUCAGAAUAUCGAUUACAACUACUUCAGCUUUCUCUGUGACAUCGGUGGUUCUCUUGGCCUAUGGCUUGGUGGGAGCAUCUUAACUGUCUUUGAGAUUCUGGAUCUGUUUGGAAACUCGAUGUACACCUACACCUUACGUUUUCAGAAUGUAAAGAAAUAGAUUUAUUGGGAAUGAAAAAAAUUGUAAAACAAUUACUGAAAAUAAAUGUAUGAUAAUUAUGUAAAA